UACGUAGGGUGCAAGCGUUAAUCGGAAUUACUGGGCGUAAAGCGUGCGCAGGCGGUUGUGUAAGACAGAUGUGAAAUCCCUGGGCUCAACCUGGGAACUGCAUUUGUGACUGCACAGCUGGAGUGCGGCAGAGGGGGAUGGAAUUCCGCGUGUAGCAGUGAAAUGCGUAGAUAUGCGGAGGAACACCGAUGGCGAAGGCAAUCCCCUGGGCCUGCACUGACGCUCAUGCACGAAAGCGUGGGGAGCAAACAGG
rnacentral:rRNA from 1 species